rnacentral:tRNA from 1 species
UGUGAAGUGCCUGAAAAAGGAUAAUUUUGAUAGAAUUAAUCAUGUAUUUAUAUACCUUCACAA